AGAGUUUGAUCCUGGCUCAGAUUGAACGCUGGCGGCAUGCUUUACACAUGCAAGUCGAACGGCAGCGGGGGCUUCGGCCUGCCGGCGAGUGGCGAACGGGUGAGUAAUACAUCGGAACGUGUCCUUAAGUGGGGAAUAACGCAUCGAAAGAUGUGCUAAUACCGCAUAUCUCUGAGGAGAAAAGCAGGGGAUCGCAAGACCUUGCGCUAAAGGAGCGGCCGAUGUCUGAUUAGCUAGUUGGUGGGGUAAAGGCUUACCAAGGCAACGAUCAGUAGUUGGUCUGAGAGGACGGCCAACCACACUGGGACUGAGACACGGCCCAAACUCCUACGGGAGGCAGCAGUGGGGAUUUUUGGACAAUGGGCGGAAGCCUGAUCCACCCCUGCCGCGUGGAUGAAAAAAGGCUUUCGGUUGAAAAGCUCUUUUAGUCCGAAAGAAAGAGUUGCAAUGAAAAAUUGUGAUUUUAGACGGGACCGACAGAAAAAGCACGGGCUAUUUACGUGCCAGCAGCCGCGG
rnacentral:rRNA from 1 species